UACGUAGGGAGCAAGCGUUGUCCGGAAUCAUUGGGCGUAAAGCGCGCGUAGGUGGCUUCGUAAGUCCGUUGUGAAAGUCAAAGGCUCAACCUUUGAAUGCCGAUGGAUACUGCGGAGCUAGAGUACGGAAGAGGCGAGUGGAAUUCCUGGUGUAGCGGUGGAAUGCGCAGAUAUCAGGAGGAACACCGGUGGCGAAGGCGGAUCUCUGGGCCAUUACUGACGCUGAGGAGCGAAAGCGUGGGGAGCGAACAGGA
rnacentral:rRNA from 1 species